AUUGAACGCUGGCGGCAGGCCUAACACAUGCAAGUCGAACGGUAGCACAGAGAGCUUGCUCUCGGGUGACGAGUGGCGGACGGGUGAGUAACGUCUGGGAAACUGCCCGAUGGAGGGGGAUAACUACUGGAAACGGUAGCUAAUACCGCAUAACGUCGCAAGACCAAAGUGGGGGACCUUCGGGCCUCACACCAUCGGAUGUGCCCAGAUGGGAUUAGCUAGUAGGUGGGGUAAUGGCUCACCUAGGCGACGAUCCCUAGCUGGUCUGAGAGGAUGACCAGCCACACUGGAACUGAGACACGGUCCAGACUCCUACGGGAGGCAGCAGUGGGGAAUAUUGCACAAUGGGCGCAAGCCUGAUGCGGCCAUGCCGCGUGUAUGAAGAAGGCCUUCGGGUUGUAAAGUACUUUCAGCGGGGAGGAAGGCGGUGAAGUUAAUAACUUCACCGAUUGACGUUACCCGCAGAAGAAGCACCGGCUAACUCCGUGCCAGCAGCCGCAGUAACAC
rnacentral:rRNA from 1 species